UUGUAUUAUCUUUGAUAUGACAAUUCACAAGCAUUAGUUUCAGGUGCAGAUUGUGGAAGGAUUAUAUCAGUAUCAGGAGAUCAUCAUACCUGAAAAGGACUUUUCUGGACAGUAAGAUUAUGCUAUCUGAUACUAGGAACCUAUGCAUCGUGCUGAUUGGCCGCGGCUACACGUGUUUGCAUAAUUGUAUUGGCUGAACGAAACCGGAAUGAUAAAAAUGACUAUGGGAUGCUAUGCUACUAUUCGGUGCAGGAAAGUUUGAGAUUAGAGUUUCUUUUUUUUUCACACCACGAAUGAUCAUAUUUCAAUAUCUUCUCUCCAUCUUUUAGUUUAAGAAAAGGCAGUAUUGGUUGCUAUGAUUCUUGUGUUAUGGCCUAGGUUCCUAGUAUUCCUUAUCGAUUGAUAAUACCAGUGGUAUAUUAUCAUCAAAGCAUCCGAUCUUGCAAGUAUCUA